rnacentral:rRNA from 1 species
GCCUACGGGAGGCAGCAGUGGGGAAUAUUGCACAAUGGGGGAAACCCUGAUGCAGCAACGCCGCGUGAGUGAAGAAGGUUUUCGGAUUGUAAAGCUCUGUUAGCAGGGAAGAGGAAGGACGGUACCUGCAGAGGAAGCCACGGCUAACUACGUGCCAGCAGCCGCGGUAAUACGUAGGUGGCAAGCGUUGUUCGGAAUAACUGGGCGUAAAGGGCGUGUAGGCGGGCAUGCAAGCCAGAAGUGAAAACUGGGGGCUUAACCCCCAAACUGCUUUUGGAACUGC